GGAUUGUAAACCUCUGUUGACGGAGAAAAAAAUGAUGGUAUCCGUUUAGAAAGCCACGGCUAACUACGUGCCAGCAGCCGCGGUAAUACGUAGGUGGCAAGCGUUGUCCGGAAUUACUGGGUGUAAAGGGAGCGCAGGCGGGAAGACAAGUUGGAAGUGAAAUCCAUGGGCUCAACCCAUGAACUGCUUUCAAAACUGUUUUUCUUGAGUAGUGCAGAGGUAGGCGGAAUUCCCGGUGUAGCGGUGGAAUGCGUAGAUAUCGGGAGGAACACCAGUGGCGAAGGCGGCCUACUGGGCACCAACUGACGCUGAGGCUCGAAAGUGUGGGUAGCAAACAGGAUUAGAUACCCUGGUAGUCCACACCGUAAACGAUGAUUACUAGGUGUUGGAGGAUUGACCCCUUCAGUGCCGCAGUUAACACAAUAAGUAAUCCACCUGGGGAGUACGACCGCAAGGUUGAAACUCAAAGGAAUUGACGGGGGCCCGCACAAGCAGUGGAGUAUGUGGUUUAAUUCGACGCAACGCGAAGAACCUUACCAAGUCUUGACAUCCUGCGACGAUGCUGGAAACAGUAUUUUCCUUCGGGACGCAGAGACAGGUGGUGCAUGGUUGUCGUCAGCUCGUGUCGUGAGAUGUUGGGUUAAGUCCCGCAACGAGCGCAACCCUUAUGGUCAGUUACUACGCAAGAGGACUCUGGCCAGACUGCCGUUGACAAAACGGAGGAAGGUGGGGAUGACGUCAAAUCAUCAUGCCCCUUAUGACUUGGGCUACACACGUGCUACAAUGGCGUAAACAAAGGGAAGCAAAGCUGUGAAGCCGAGCAAAUCUCAAAAAUAACGUCUCAGUUCGGAUUGUAGUCUGCAACUCGACUACAUGAAGCUGGAAUCGCUAGUAAUCGCGAAUCAGAAUGUCGCGGUGAAUACGUUCCCGGGUCUUGUACACACCGCCCGUCACACCAUGGGAGUCGGUAACGCCCGAAGUCAGUGACCCAACCGCAAGGAGGGAGCUGCCGAAGGCAGGAUCGAUAACUGGGGUGAAGUCGUAACAAGGUAGCCGUAUCGGAAGGUGCGGCUG
rnacentral:rRNA from 1 species